GGUGGAGUGAUUUGUCUGGUUUAUUCCGAUAACGAACGAGACUCUAACCUGCUAACUAGUCUUGCGAUAAUUACGUCGUACGGACUUCUUAGAGGGAUCAGUGGUGUUCAGCCACACGAAAUUGAGCAAUAACAGGUCUGUGAUGCCCUUAGAUGUUCGGGGCUGCACGCGCGCUACACUGGAAGGAUCAACAUGCUCUUUUCCUGGGCCGAAAGGCCUGGGCAAACCUUUGAAAACCUUCCGUGAUCGGGAUAGGGAAUUGCAAUUAUUUCCCUUCAACGAGGAAUUCCCAGUAAGUGUGAGUCAUCAGCUCGCGUUGAAUACGUCCCUGCCCUUUGUAC
rnacentral:rRNA from 1 species